GACGAACGCUGGCGGCGUGCUUAACACAUGCAAGUCGAGCGGAAAACUUCGGUUUUCAGCGGCGGACGGGUGAGUAACACGUGGGCAACCUGCCUCACAAUGAGGGAUAGCCUUCCGAAAGGAAGAUUAAUACCUCAUAACACAAGAGAAACGCAUGUUUCUCUUGCCAAAGAAUUUCGUUGUGAGAUGGGCCCGCGGCGCAUUAGCUUGUUGGUGAGGUAACGGCUCACCAAGGCUUCGAUGCGUAGCCGACGUGAGAGGGUGAUCGGCCACAUUGGAACUGAGACACGGUCCAGACUCCUACGGGAGGCAGCAGUGGGGAAUAUUGCACAAUGGAGGAAACUCUGAUGCAGCAACGCCGCGUGAGUGAUGAAGGUCUUCGGAUUGUAAAACUCUGUCUUCUGGGACGAUAAUGACGGUACCAGAGGAGGAAGCCACGGCUAACUACGUGCCAGCAGCCGCCGUAA
rnacentral:rRNA from 1 species